rnacentral:rRNA from 1 species
AUUGAACGCUGGCGGCACGCCUAACACAUGCAAGUCGAGCGGCAGCGAGACUAGUAGCAAUACUAGUUGUCGGCGAGCGGCGGACGGGUGAGUAACACGUAGGAAUCUGCCCUUAAGCGGGGGAUAACCAAGGGAAACUUUGGCUAAUACCGCAUAAUCUCGAGAGAGCAAAGCUGCCCGCAAGGGUGGCACUUGAGGAGGAGCCUGCGUCCGAUUAGCUAGUUGGUGGGGUAAUGGCCUACCAAGGCGAUGAUCGGUAACUGGUCUGAGAGGACGACCAGCCACACUGGGGCUGAGACACGGCCCAGACUCCUACGGGAGGCAGCAGUGGGGAAUAUUGGACAAUGGGGGCAACCCUGAUCCAGCGAUGCCGCGUGAGUGAAGAAGGCCUUCGGGUCGUAAAGCUCUUUAGGUUGGGAAGAAGGGUAUUGGCUGAAUAAUCCAGUACUUUGACGGUACCGACAGAAUAAGCACCGGCAAACUCUGUGCCAGCCGCCGCAGUAAAAC